rnacentral:rRNA from 1 species
CAGCAGUCGCCGCGGGAAUACAGAGGGUGCGAGCGUUAAUCGGAUUUACUGGGCGUAAAGCGUGCGUAGGCGGCUUCUUAAGUCGGAUGUGAAAUCCCUGAGCUUAACUUAGGAAUUGCAUUCGAUACUGGGAAGCUAGAGUAUGGGAGAGGAUGGUAGAAUUCCAGGUGUAGCGGUGAAAUGCGUAGAGAUCUGGAGGAAUACCGAUGGCGAAGGCAGCCAUCUGGCCUAAUACUGACGCUGAGGUACGAAAGCAUGGGGAGCAAACAGGAUUAGAUACCCCAGUAGUCCCUGUCUCUUAUAC